rnacentral:rRNA from 5 species
ACGACUCUCGGCAACGGAUAUCUCGGCUCUCGCAUCGAUGAAGAACGCAGCGAAAUGCGAUACUUGGUGUGAAUUGCAGAAUCCCGUGAACCAUCGAGUUUUUGAACGCAAGUUGCGCCCAAAGCCUUUCGGCUGAGGGCACGUCUGCCUGGGUGUCACGCAACA